rnacentral:rRNA from 1 species
UACGAAGGACCCAAGCGUUAUCCGGAUUUAUUGGGUUUAAAGGGUGCGUAGGCGGGCUGUUAAGUCAGUGGUGAAAGCUCCGAGCUUAACUCGGAAACUGCCAUUGAUACUGACGGUCUUGAGUACAUUUGAGGUGGGCGGAAUGUGUCAUGUAGCGGUGAAAUGCUUGAUAUGACACAGAACACCGAUUGCGAAGGCAGCUCACUAAACUGUAACUGACGCUGAGGCACGAAAGCGUGGGGAGCAAACAGG